rnacentral:rRNA from 1 species
GCGUGCGGGAAGAAGGCCUUCGGGUUGUAAACCGCUUUUGUCAGGGAAGAAAAGCGCCGAGCCAAUACCUUGGCGUCAUGACGGUACCUGAAGAAUAAGCACCGGCUAACUACGUGCCAGCAGCCGCGGUAAUACGUAGGGUGCAAGCGUUAAUCGGAAUUACUGGGCGUAAAGCGUGCGCAGGCGGUCGUGCAAGACAGAUGUGAAAUCCCCGGGCUCAACCUGGGAACUGCAUUUGUGACUGCACGGCUAGAGUGCGGCAGAGGGGGAUGGAAUUCCGCAUGUAGCAGUGAAAUGCGU